rnacentral:lncRNA from 1 species
CUCACUUAAUUUUCCGUUUUAUUAAAAAUCUUCAUUACAGUAGAAAACAACGAGAGCAAAUGCGCAAUGAUUUAUUAUUGCAUUAGAAUGCAACACAAACUUUUCCGAGAUUUUGUCAUUCAGGAUAGAAAACUCAAAGUCUGGUUUUACUUGAGAAAGAUGAAGAAAAAAAAUGGUUUCUUGAGAAAAAUAAGAUACGGCGUAAACUAACAUUAAUCAUGCAUCUAGCUUUGCGUUGAAGUGCUAAUAUAUACAGUAGCUCUUUAAAUGAAUACGACCUUUAACCGGUAAACAAUGUAAAACAAAAGAUGACACAGUAUUCAGAUUUGUGCGUUUUUCGAUUUACGAAUAAGUCAAUAAGAUAAAAAAGUAAUUGAAGCAAAAAAAAAAAGAUACAUGAAAUAAUGAAUUAACAUAAGUUUACAAAUACAUACCUAGGAGCAUUUAAUAAACAAUUUGAAAUUAUUAAUACAUUUUUUUUACAUAUUAUUGUAAUUUAUGUUUAUGUUCCCGAUAUGGAGUUCUUCUAAAAUUAAAAAUCACUUGAAUGGGUAUUUCUGGUGUAUAUACAUGUAUCACACGUGUUAUCUACAUGUACAAUAUACGGAAAUGACACGGCUGGGUAUUGUAAAGUUACUGAAUGAAGAUUACUGUCAGGUGUAUAUCCCCGGGCGAAGAAUUUACUGGUUUGUCAAAACGGUUAGGUGUAAUUUGUCAUAUUGUAAAGGUUUGAAUCGCGCUCAUCUCUUCUUUUUUAUAAUAUGAAAUGCGCCAAUAAAUGGAACUUGACACAUUCCCCAUUGCCAUUCUCAAUAUUAUUAAUUG